rnacentral:misc_RNA from 1 species
UUAAGUUCAGCGGGUAUCCCUACCUGAUCCGAGGUCAAGCUUGAAUGAAUCUUGCCGGAUGCUGCCUAGCCAGACCCGCCAGAGCGCUGAUUCUGCUGCGCUGGGGGCUGACAUAGAAGCUGCCGAUAGCUUUGGGGCGAGUCCAUGCAGCAACACAGGACAGACGCCCAACACCAAGCAGAGCUUGAGGGUGUAAAUGA